AGUGAACGCUGGCGGUAGGCCUAACACAUGCAAGUCGAACGGCAGCACAGUAAGAGCUUGCUCUUACGGGUGGCGAGUGGCGGACGGGUGAGGAAUACAUCGGAAUCUACUUUUUCGUGGGGGAUAACGUAGGGAAACUUACGCUAAUACCGCAUACGACCUACGGGUGAAAGCAGGGGAUCUUCGGACCUUGCGCGAUUGAAUGAGCCGAUGUCGGAUUAGCUAGUUGGCGGGGUAAAGGCCCACCAAGGCGACGAUCCGUAGCUGGUCUGAGAGGAGGAUCAGCCACAGUGGAACUGAGACACGGUCCAGGCUCCUACGGGAGGCAGCAGUGGGGAAUAUUGGACAAUGGGCGCAAGCCUGAUCCAGCCAUACCGCGUGGGUGAAGAAGGCCUGCGGGUUGUAAAGCCCUUUUGUUGGGAAAGAAAAGCAGCAGGUUAAUACCCCGCUGUGCUGACGGUACCCAAAGAAUAAGCACCGGCUAACUUCGU
rnacentral:rRNA from 1 species